rnacentral:rRNA from 1 species
UGGGGAAUCUUGGACAAUGGGCGCAAGCCUGAUCCAGCCAUGCCGCGUGAGUGAAGAAGGCCUUAGGGUUGUAAAGCUCUUUUGGCAGGGACGAUAAUGACGGUACCUGCAGAAUAAGCCCCGGCAAACUUCGUGCCAGCAGCCGCGGUAAUACGAAGGGGGCUAGCGUUGUUCGGAUUUACUGGGCGUAAAGCGCACGUAGGCGGAUUGUUAAGUCAGGGGUGAAAUCCCGGAGCUCAACUCCGGAACUGCCUUUGAUACUGGCAAUCUUGAGGCUGGAAGAGNUUGGUAGAAUUCCCAGUGUAGAGGUGAAAUUCGUAGAUAUUGGGAAGAAUACCAGUGGCGAAGGCGGCCAACUGGUCCAGGUCUGACGCUGAGGUGCGAAAGCGUGGGGAGCAAACA